UGGAAGAGGUCGUAUGC
rnacentral:misc_RNA from 1 species